rnacentral:tRNA from 7 species
CGGAGUGUAGCUCAGCCUGGUAGAGCACUGCGUUCGGGACGCAGGGGUCGGAGGUUCGAAUCCUCUCACUCCGACCA